rnacentral:rRNA from 1 species
GUCUAGGGAUGCUGACAGGUUUACUUUGAAAAAAUUAGAGUGCUCAAAGCAGGCUAUUACGCUUGAAUAUUAGUGCAUGGAAUAAUAGAAUAGGAAGUUGUUUCUAUUUGGUGGUUUUCGGAAAUCGACUUAAUGAUUAAUAGGGACAGUCGGGGGCAUUUGUAUUCAAACGACAGAGGUGAAAUUCUUGGACCGUUUGAAGACAAACUACUGCGAAGGCAUUUGCCAAGAAUGUUUUCAUUAAUCAAGAACGAAAGUUAGAGGUUCGAAGGCGAUUAGAUACCGCCCUAGUUCUAACCAUAAACGAUGCCAGCUAGCGAUCUGAGGACGUUUUUUUUGUAGACUCCUCAGGAAGCUUCCGGGAAACCAAAGCGUGUGGGUUCCGGGGGAAGUAUGGUUGCAAAGCUGAAACUUAAAGGAAUUGACGGAAGGGCACCACCAGGAGUGGAGCCUGCGGCUUAAUUUGACUCAACACGGGAAAUCUCACCAGGCCCGGACACUGGAAGGAUUGACAGAUUGAGAGCUCUUUCUCGAUUCGGUGGGUGGUGGUGCAUGGCCGUUCUUAGUUGGUGGAGUGAUUUGUCUGGUUAAUUCCGAUAACGAACGAGACUCUGUCCUGCUAAAUAGUGUCAGCCUCUCUUUUGGGCUGACAAUUCUUCUUAGAGGGACUGGCGGCUCCUAGCCGCACGAGAUAGAGCAAUAACAGGUCUGUGAUGCCCUUAGAUGUUCUGGGCAGCACGCGCGCUACACUGAAUAGAUCAGCGUGUUCUCCCUUUCUGAGAAGAACGGGUAAACCGCUGAACCCUAUUCGUGGUAGGGAUCGGGGCUUGCAAUUAUUCCCCGUGAACCAGGAAUUCCCAGUAGGCGCGAGUCAUAAGCUCGCGUCGAUUACGUCCCUGCCCUUUGUACACACCGCCCGUCGCUACUACCGAUUGAACGUUUUAGUGAGGUCCACGGACUGUUUGCAGAGCGGAUUAUUCUGCCUUGCUGGCGGGAAG